GCAGCCGUGGCCGAGCGAUUAAGGCGGUAUCCUGAACUAGUUCCCGCGCAGGUUCGAACUUGCUGGCUGCC